rnacentral:rRNA from 1 species
ACGAACAGUUGGAAACGACUGCUAAUACCGCAUAAGACUACAGUACCGCAUGGUACAGUGAUCAAAGGAUUUAUUUCGCUGAAGGAUGGCUUCGCGUCCGAUUAGGUAGUUGGUGAGGUAACGGCCCACCAAGCCUACGAUCGGUAGCCGGACUGAGAGGUUGAUCGGCCACAUUGGGACUGAGACACGGCCCAGACUCCUACGGGAGGCAGCAUG